rnacentral:rRNA from 1 species
GACGAACGCUGGCGGCGUGCUUAACACAUGCAAGUCGAACGGUGAAGCGCCUUCCUUUUUGGUGGGUGUGGAUGAGUGGCGAACGGGUGAGUAACACGUGAGUAACCUGCCCCCUUCUUCUGGAUAACCGCAUGAAAGUGUGGCUAAUACGGGAUAUUCUGGGUCUGUCGCAUGAUGGGUCUGGGAAAGAUAUUGUUUCGGUGGGGGAUGGGCUCGCGGCCUAUCAGCUUGAUGGUGGGGUGAUGGCCUACCAAGGCGGUGACGGGUAGCCGGCCUGAGAGGGUGGACGGUCACACUGGGACUGAGACACGGCCCAGACUCCUACGGGAGGCAGCAGUGGGGAAUAUUGCACAAUGGGCGCAAGCCUGAUGCAGCGACGCCGCGUGAGGGAUGGAGGCCUUCGGGUUGUGAACCUCUUUCGCCAGUGAAGCAGGCCUGCCUCGUUUGUGGGUGGGUUGACGGUAGCUGGAUAAGAAGCGCCGGCUAACUACGUG